AAGUGGUAAAUAAGGAAAGUACAUUCAGCAGAGUAAUUUGAAAUUCCAAUUUCAAAUCUUCAAGAAAUCUUUCCCUUAUUCAAGAAGCCAAAUCUCAAGAAGAUGCACAUUCAAAAUUCAAAAUUCAAAAUUCAGCUUGUUUAGGAAGCCAAAUCUUAAGAAGACAUACUUGCCCCCUAAGUAAUCAAGACAUACUUGCCUCCCAAGUAAUCAAGAUUCAAAAUUCAAAAUUCAAAAGAAGGCUCCACCUCAUCAAGGAGACCUAGGGCAACACUUUCAACUAUAAAA
rnacentral:lncRNA from 1 species